AACAAGGUUUCCGUAGGUGAACCUGCGGAAGGAUCAUUAAUGAAUUUAGAUUGAACCAUAGGCGAAAGCCAGUGGUUCUUCUUUCAUAUCCAUAACACCUGUGCACUGUUGGAUGCUUGCAUCCACUUUUAAACUAAACAUUAUUGUAACAAAUGUAGUCUUAUUAUAACAUAAUAAAACUUUCAACAACGGAUCUCUUGGCUCUCGCAUCGAUGAAGAACGCAGCGAAAUGCGAUAAGUAAUGUGAAUUGCAGAAUUCAGUGAAUCAUCGAAUCUUUGAACGCACCUUGCGCUCCUUGGUAUUCCGAGGAGCAUGCCUGUUUGAGUGUCAUGAAACCCUCAAACCCAAGUUUUGGAUUUCGAUCCAUGCUUGAGUUUGGAUUUGGAUGUUUGCCGGUGAUGAACCGACUCAUCUUAAAAGUAUUAGCUUGGAUCUGUCUAUAUGACUGGUUUGACUUGGCAUAAUAAGUAUUUUGCUGAGGACAUCUUCGGAUGGCCAGGACCUAGACUACUGUCUGCUAACUAAACCAUCACUUUAAGUGCAUCUUUGGAUGUUACUCAUUGUGUAACUUUGACAUCUGGCCUCAAAUCAAGUAGGACUACCCGCUGAACUUAAGCAUAUCAAUAAGCGGAGGAAAAGAAACUAACAAGGAUUCCCCUAGUAACGGCGAGUGAAGCGGGAAGAGCUCAAAUUUGAAAUCUGGUGGCCUCAGGUCAUCCGAGUUGUAAUCUAUAGAAGUGUUUUCCGUGCUGGA
rnacentral:rRNA from 1 species